UACAGAGGGGGCAAGCGUUAUUCGGAAUUACUGGGCGUAAAGCGCGUGUAGGCGGUUGUCCAAGUUGGAUGUGAAAGCCUUGAGCUUAACUCAAGAAAUGCAUUCAGGACUGGAUGACUAGAGGACCGGAGAGGAUAGUGGAAUUCCCAGUGUAGUGGUGAAAUACGUAGAGAUUGGGAAGAACACCAGUGGCGAAGGCGGCUAUCUGGACGGUUUCUGACGCUAAGACGCGAAAGCGUGGGGAGCAAACAGG
rnacentral:rRNA from 1 species